rnacentral:rRNA from 1 species
AGAGUUUGAUCAUGGCUCAGGACGAACGCUGGCGGCGUGCUUAACACAUGCAAGUGGUGCGACGAACCAGGCUUCGGCCUGGGGCAGAGCCGCGAACGGGUGAGUAACACGUGGGUAACCUGCCCCGAUGACUGGGACAACCCGGGGAAACCCGGGCUAAUACCGGAUGAGCUCUCCGCCCUUCCGGGCGGUGAGGAAAGGUAGCUUCGGCCUCCGCAUUGGGAUGGGCCCGCGGCCCAUUAGCUUGUUGGUGUGGUAACGGCUCACCAAGGCAACGAUGGGUAGCUGGUCUGAGAGGACGAUCAGCCACACUGGGACUGAGACACGGCCCAGACUCCUACGGGAGGCAGCAGUGGGGAAUCUUGCGCAAUGCGCGAAAGCGUGACGCAGCAACGCCGCGUGGGGGAAGAAGGCCUUCGGGUUGUAAACCCCUUUCAGUUGGGACGAAGCCUUCCCUGGUUAAGAGCUAGGGGGGUGACGGUACCUUCAGAAGAAGCCCCGGCUAACUACGUGCCAGCAGCCGCGGUAAUACGUAGGGGGCAAGCGUUGUCCGGAAUCAUUGGGCGUAAAGAGCGUGUAGGCGGCUCGAUAAGUCUGCUGUGAAAGUCCAGGGCUCAACCCUGGAAGGCCGGUGGAAACUGUCGGGCUAGAGUCCGGAAGAGGCGAGUGGAAUUCCCGGUGUAGCGGUGAAAUGCGCAGAUAUCGGGAGGAACACCAAUGGCGAAGGCAGCUCGCUGGGACGGUACUGACGCUGAGACGCGAAAGCGUGGGGAGCAAACAGGAUUAGAUACCCUAGUAGUCC